UCAGUCGGCCGGACGGCCGCUCCCGCUACGGUCGAAAGGCUGCGGGGGAGGAAAGUCCGGGCUCCAUCGACAUACGGUGCCGGAUAACAUCCGGCGGGGGCAACCCCAGGGACAGUGCCACAGAGAACGAACCGCCUCGUCUUCGGAUGCGGCAAGGGUGAAAAGGUGCGGUAAGAGCGCACCGCGGGUCCGGCAACGGAAACGGCAUGGCAAACCACACCGGGAGCAAAACCGAAUAGGGACGGCAACGCGGGCUGUUCGCGCAAGCGAUAACACCGCAGGGCGAUGUCAGGCUCGCCGUCCGGGUAGGUUGCUCGAGGCCAUGUGCAAACAUGGUCCCAGAGGAAUGGCCGUCACGUAUCGCAUGCGCAAGCAGGCGGUGCCUUACAGAACCCGGCUUACAGGCUGGCUGAUAUC
rnacentral:RNase_P_RNA from 1 species